rnacentral:rRNA from 1 species
AACGAACGCUGGCGGCAGGCUUAACACAUGCAAGUCGAGCGCAUCCUUCGGGGUGAGCGGCAGACGGGUGAGUAACGCGUGGGAAUCUACCUUUUGCUACGGAAUAGCUCCGGGAAACUGGAAUUAAUACCGUAUGUGCCCUUAGGGGGAAGGAUUUAUCGGCAAGAGAUGAGCCCGCGUUGGAUUAGCUAGUUGGUGGGGUAAAGGCCUACCAAGGCGACGAUCCAUAGCUGGUCUGAGAGGAUGAUCAGCCACAUUGGGACUGAGACACGGCCCAAACUCCUACGGGAGGCAGCAGUGGGGAAUAUUGGACAAUGGGCGCAAGCCUGAUCCAGCCAUGCCGAGUGAGUGAUGAAGGCCUUAGGGUUGUAAAGCUCUUUCACCGGAGAAGAUAAUGACGGUAUCCGGAGAAGAAGCCCCGGCUAACUUCGUG